rnacentral:rRNA from 1 species
UACGUAGGGGGCGAGCGUUGUCCGGAGUUACUGGGCGUAAAGCGCACGCAGGCGGUCUGCUAAGUUUGGAGUGACAGUUGGUGGCUUAACUGCCAAAGUGCUUCGAAAACUGACAGACUUGAGGGCUUCAGAGGGACACGGAAUUCCGGGUGGAGUGGUGAAAUGCGUAGAUAUCGGGAGGAACACCUGCGGUGUAGACGGCUUUCUGGACCAUUGUUGACGCUGAGACACGAAAGCGUGGGGAUCAAACAGG